rnacentral:rRNA from 1 species
GACGAACGCUGGCGGCGUGCCUAACACAUGCAAGUCGAACGGGGAGUUAUUUAUAACUCCUAGUGGCGAACGGGUGAGUAACGCGUAGACAACCUGCCUCUAAAUUGGGGACAACACCGCGAAAGUGGUGAUAAUACCGAAUGUGGUAACUUGGUCGCAUGAGUAGGGUAAUAAAGAUGGCCUAUAUAUAUAAGUUAUAGAUUAAAGAUGGGGCUGCGUCUGAGUAGCUAGUUGGUGAGGUAAUGGCGCACCAAGGCGACGAUCAGUAGCCGGUCUGAGAGGAUGAACGGCCACACUGGGACUGAGACACGGCCCAGACUCCUACGGGAGGCAGCAGUGGGGAAUCUUCCGCAAUGGACGAAAGUCUGACGGAGCAACGCCGCGUGAGUGAAGAAGGUCUUCGGAUUGUAAAGCUCUGUCGUUUGGGACGAACGUGGAUUGUGUGAAUAAUGCAGUCUAAUGACGGUACCAAAGGAGGAAGCCACGGCUAACUACGUGCCAGCCGCCGCCGUAA